rnacentral:rRNA from 1 species
GUGCCAGCCGCCGCGGUAAUACGGAGGGUGCAAGCGUUAAUCGGAAUUACUGGGCGUAAAGCGCACGUAGGUUGUCUGUUAAGUUGGAUGUGAAAGCCCAGGGCUCAACCUUGGAACUGCAUCCAAAACUGGCAGACUAGAGUAUGGUAGAGGUGAGUGGAAUUUCCUGUGUAGCGGUGAAAUGCGUAGAGAUGGGAAGGAACAUCAGUGGCGAAGGCGACUCACUGGACUAAUACUGACACUGAGGUGCGAAAGCGUGGGUAGCAAACAGGAUUAGAUACCCUGGUAGUCCACGCCGUAAACGGUGUCUACUAGCCGUUGGGAUCCUUGAGAUCUUAGUGGCGCAGCUAACGCACUAAGUAGACCGCCUGGGGAGUACGGUCGCAAGAUUAAA